rnacentral:rRNA from 1 species
UGGAUCCAGACUUUGAUCCUGGCUCAGGAUGAACGCUGGCGGCGUGCCUAACACAUGCAAGUCGAACGGACUUACAUUGAAGCCUAGCGAUAUGUAAGUUAGUGGCGGACGGGUGAGUAACGCGUGGGUAACCUGCCUUGUACUGGGGGACAACAGUUGGAAACGACUGCUAAUACCGCAUAAGCGCACAGCUUCGCAUGAAGCAGUGUGAAAAACUCCGGUGGUACAAGAUGGACCCGCGUCUGAUUAGCUGGUUGGUGAGGUAACGGCCCACCAAGGCGACGAUCAGUAGCCGGCCUGAGAGGGUGAACGGCCACAUUGGGACUGAGACACGGCCCAAACUCCUACGGGAGGCAGCAGUGGGGAAUAUUGCACAAUGGGGGAAACCCUGAUGCAGCAACGCCGCGUGAGUGAAGAAGUAUUUCGGUAUGUAAAGCUCUAUCAGCAGGAAAGAAAAUGACGGUACCUGACUAAGAAGCCCCGGCUAACUACGUGCCAGCAGCCGCGGUAAUACGUAGGGGGCAAGCGUUAUCCGGAUUUACUGGGUGUAAAGGGAGCGUAGACGGUUUUGCAAGUCUGAAGUGAAAGCCCGGGGCUUAACCCCGGGACUGCUUUGGAAACUGUAGAACUAGAGUGCAGGAGAGGUAAGUGGAAUUCCUAGUGUAGCGGUGAAAUGCGUAGAUAUUAGGAGGAACACCAGUGGCGAAGGCGGCUUACUGGACUGUAACUGACGUUGAGGCUCGAAAGCGUGGGGAGCAAACAGGAUUAGAUACCCUGGUAGUCCACGCCGUAAACGAUGAUUACUAGGUGUUGGUGGGUAUGACCCAUCGGUGCCGCAGCAAACGCAAUAAGUAAUCCGCCUGGGGAGUACGUUCGCAAGAAUGCAACUCAAAUGAAUUGACGGA